rnacentral:misc_RNA from 1 species
CCGUUCUAAAUGAUGUCGACUCUUGCUUUCUAAAAGUUCUUCCAAAGAUGGCACGCAAGUCAGAAGUCCAUCCAAAAAAGCCUUUCCAUUCGUUGAAUAUGCACACUUGAGUUCGCUGAAUAAUCACCGCUCUAUCUCCGGACUCUUGAGAAAUCAAUACAUUAGGCAGUAAGCUCUUCCAAUUACCUUCCACAGAUGACCUGGCCUCCACGGUGCCACGAACAACAACAAGCUUUCGAUCGGACUCGGAUUGUCCCGAAUCUCCGUCGGGAAUAAUAUGGCGAAGAUCAGAAACGCUAACAUAAGGAGCCUUACGGAGCUCGUUGAGAGAGGAGCAGGAGGCAGUGAGUUUGAGGACGGUACGAACGGCAGCAUAAGCUAGGGCAGCACCCAGAACGGCUCCAUCAAACGAUAAAGCAAAGCGGGAGAGUAAAGUGCCGGUUGCUGUCUCCAUCGCAUUCAACGAGGGAACUGUUUUCACCUUCACAGAGACACGG